rnacentral:rRNA from 1 species
UGUUAAAAAGCUCGUAGUUGGAUCAAGAGUUCGACAGUGCAAGGUGGCCCCGCUUGUUACGAUGGCUCCGGUCACCGUAACGGCGGCGGAUCAACCCCUUGCGCCAAACUGUCGUCUCUAACAGACCGAAACGGUUCCCUGUGAGUAGGUUCCUUCAUUGGGACUGAAAGCGCCUACGCAUCAACCAUAUGCUUACGGGACGUCGGUCAAAGUUACUGUGAACAAACCAGCGUGUCCAAAACAGGCUUUCGCCUGAAUGUUCGAGCAUGGAAUAACAAGGGAUCGAUUCUCUCGGUUCUUUUUGUUGGUUUUUAACCCGAGAAGGAGUAAUUCAGGCCACGGUGUCUGGGCUGGGUUCCCCUAGUCUCCGGAUUAGGCCCCAGUUAGGCCGUGUCCUUACGGGAUCAAUAGGGACUGACGGGGUCGUACGUACUUCCACGUCAGAGGUGAAAUUCUUAGAUCGUGGGAAGACGAACUUCUGCGAAAGCAUUCGACAAGAAUGUCUUCAUUAAUCAAGGACGAGAGUGUGGGGAUCGAAGAUGAUCAGAUACCGUCGUAGUCCACUACUGUAAUCA